CACGUAGUUAGCCGGUGCUUCUUUACCCAUUACCGUCACUCACGCUUCGUCACAGGCGAAAGCGGUUUACAACCCGAAGGCCGUCAUCCCGCACGCGGCGUUGCUGCAUCAGGCUUCCGCCCAUUGUGCAAUAUUCCCCGCUGCUGCCUCCCGUAGGAGUCUGGGCCGUAUCUCAGUCCCAAUGUGGCCGGUCACCCUCUCAGGCCGGCUACCCGUCAAAGCCUUGGUAAGCCACUACCCCCACAACAAGCUGAUAAGCCGCGAGUCCAUCCCCAACCGCCGAAACUUUCCAACCCCCACCAUGCAGCAGGAGCUCCUAUCCGGUAUUAGCCCCAGUUUCCCUGAAGUUAUCCCAAAGUCAAGGGCAGGUUACUCACGUGUUACUCACCCGUUCGCCACUCGAGCACCCCACAAAAGCAGGGCCUUUCCGUUCGACUUGCAUGUGUUAAGCACGCCGCCAGCGUUCGUCCUGUACGCCACGGAGUCAAACUCUA
rnacentral:rRNA from 1 species